AUAACACAACGGCUUCCUGACGUGGUAUAUUAAUAAAUUGAAGCG
rnacentral:ncRNA from 1 species